AAAAAUGAAGAACAACUCUAAAAUUGUUGUUGUCUGAGGGCUGAAUUUUAUAUAAGAUGUGGAUGUUUCUUCAUAUUUGUCUCUGAAGAUGAGGACGGUGGCUGUUUUAAGGAUUUGGGAUAAUGCUCGGAAAGGCAUGGAAGGGAGUCUUGCUCAUGGCCGUGACAGUGGUGGAGGCUGCACAACUGCCACGCAGAGGCUGGUGUUGAUUUUCCUACUUUGAAUAAAAUGUAAGGGAAUUCCAGUUCAGCCACUGCAGACUCCCUUGGGAUGGAAGAUUGUUUCCAUGCCAGUCUUGGGAAGCUUUACAGCUCCUGGUGAGCUCAGCUUUCUCUGCAAGCAGUGGUAAUGUUGGAGCAGGGGCUGGCUGGCCAUUACUGCUCAAGCCCUGCAUUUGGUUGAAAGAAUUCCCUGGAAGGACCAACUCGGGGCUAUAACUGAGCUCAGCACAGUGAGAUACCCAGCGUCAGUGUGUAUUGGUCCUUUUGCAUAAUGUUGCUUGAUUAUUGUUUCAUUAUUGUAGCCUUGAACUGUGCUUUCCUCUUCCAUCUGCCUCUUAACUUGCUGCUUGUGAGACUGGAUGAGAGAGAGCACCGGCGCUUCCUUCUUAGGAGGUACAGUUUCUGCAGCUGCUUCUACUUUUGUUCUAGAAGCUUUGAGGAAAACAAUAUAGAAAGUUUCCUUCUGAUAGCUGUGUGUAAUUUGUGCUACUGCCUCAGGAGUUCAUUUGCCAAGCUCAGUCUUUGCUGAAGCAGAGGCUCCAUCUCACAAACCUGAGCGUGUCCAUAUGCUUACAUGCAGAUCUGACACACUGUAAUGCUCCUGCAAUUAACUUCACUGUUAAGAUAAAGGAAGGUAGUACCCCUUCAUUUGGCGUAUCUCACUUUGACUAUUAUAAAAAAUUUAGAGUGUUAGUAAAUAAUAAAGUAGCUUUGUUUUCUU
rnacentral:lncRNA from 7 species